rnacentral:lncRNA from 1 species
AUCCCAAACCCCCAGCAGUACACCCACCACAUGUUCCAAAACCACAUCCACCUUAUGUUCCAAAACCACCAAUUGUUAAACCUCCAAUAGUACAUCCACCUUACGUACCAAAACCCCCAGUUGUGAAACCACCACCAUAUGUCCCUAAACCACCUGUUGUGAGACCACCCUAUGUUCCUAAACCACCAGUUGUACCUGUAACACCACCUUAUGUUCCUAAGCCACCAAUUGUUUUCCCACCACAUGUUCCUCUACCUCCAGUUGUACCAUCACCACCACCUUAUGUACCAACACCUCCAAUUGUGAAACCACCAAUUGUUUUUCCACCACAUGUUCCUCUACCUCCAGUUGUGCCUGUAACACCACCUUAUGUGCAACCACCACCUAUUGUAACUCCACCAACACCAACACCUCCAAUUGUGACACCACCAACACCACCUAGUGAAACACCUUGUCCUCCACCACCACUUGUACCUUAUCCACCACCAC